AGAGUUUGAUCCUGGCUCAGAACGAACGCUGGCGGCAGGCCUAACACAUGCAAGUCGAGCGCACCUUCGGGUGAGCGGCGGACGGGUUAGUAACGCGUGGGAACAUACCCUUUUCUACGGAAUAGCCAUUGGAAACGAUGAGUAAUACCGUAUACGCCCUUCGGGGGAAAGAUUUUAUCGGUGAAGGAUUGGCCCGCGUUAGAUUAGAUAGUUGGUGGGGUAAUGGCCUACCAAGUCUACGAUCUAUAGCUGGUUUUAGAGGAUGGUCAGCAACACUGGGACUGAGACACGGCCCAGACUCCUACGGGAGGCAGCAGUGGGGAAUCUUAGACAAUGGGCGAAAGCCUGAUCUAGCCAUGCCGCGUGAGUGGUGAAGGCCUUAGGGUCGUAAAGCUCUUUCGCCAGGGAUGAUAAUGACAGUACCUGGUAAAGAAACCCCGGCUAACUCCGUGCCAGCAGCCGCGGUAAUACGGAGGGGGUUAGCGUUGUUCGGAAUUACUGGGCGUAAAGCGUACGUAGGCGGAUCAGAAAGUAAGGGGUGAAAUCCCGGGGCUCAACCCCGGAACUGCCUCUUAAACUCCUGGUCUUGAGUUCGAGAGAGGUGAGUGGAAUUCUGAGUGUAGAGGUGAAAUUCGUAGAUAUUCGGAGGAACACCAGUGGCGAAGGCGGCUCACUGGCUCGAUACUGACGCUGAGGUACGAAAGUGUGGGGAGCAAACAGGAUUAGAUACCCUGGUAGUCCACACCGUAAACGAUGAAUGCCAGACAUCGGGCAGUAUACUGUUCGGUGUCACACCUAACGGAUUAAGCAUUCCGCCUGGGGAGUACGGUCGCAAGAUUAAAACUCAAAGGAAUUGACGGGGGCCCGCACAAGCGGUGGAGCAUGUGUUUAAUUCGAAGCAACGCGCAGAACCUUACCAACCCUUGACAUCCUGUGCUACAUGGAGAGAUCCGUGGUUCCUUUCGGGGACGCAGUGACAGGUGCUGCAUGGCUGUCGUCAGCUCGUGUCGUGAGAUGUUCGGUUAAGUCCGGCAACGAGCGCAACCCACACCCUUAGUUGCCAGCAGGUUAAGCUGGGCACUCUAGGGGAACUGCCCGUGAUAAGCGGGAGGUAGGUGUGGAUGACGUCAAGUCCUCAUGGCCCUUACGGGUUGGGCUACACACGUGCUACAAUGGUAGUGACGAUGGGUUAAUCCCAAAAAGCUAUCUCAGUUCGGAUUGGGGUCUGCAACUCGACCCCAUGAAGUCGGAAUCGCUAGUAAUCGCGUAACAGCAUGACGCGGUGAAUACGUUCCCGGGCCUUGUACACACCGCCCGUCACACCAUGGGAGUUGGGUUUACCCGAAGGCCGUGCGCCAACC
rnacentral:rRNA from 1 species